AGCUUUGCACAGUGGCAGUAUCAUAGCCAAAGAGGUUUGUCCGAGAUGCGAUUAUUGCUAAUUGAAGAAGAGGUUCUAUGAAAUUGGAAACAGAGGAGUCCAUCCAAGUGACCAACCUCCCUGGCACUCAAAGCGGUUGUUUCUGCAGUAUCUCUAAAAU
rnacentral:snRNA from 1 species